GCGUGCCCCGCGAUGACGGCGUCCGCCUCGGAGCGUGGCCGAAGCGUGCGGCCUGAGGACCCGGGCGUUCCUAAGAGACGGUGAUGAUACUUGUCUGAGACAACAGCCCGGCGAGAGAAGAACUUCCCAGACGGCGAGGUGGCUUCGUUUGGCCCCUGACCGGCCUCUCGCCGUGACUCACGUCUUCAGCCAUCCGAGAGAUAAGCGGAGCCCGCAGAGGGGCUCAAAGCAGGGCGGCGGGUCGGGACUCAGAUCGGUUUGGGUUUUUGAGUGAGCUUUGGGGAUGGGGAGGCUCUAGAAAUGACCCCAUAGGCCCCAUCGAGGGAAAGCCUCACUUUGGCUCGCAGCGCUGAGGCGGGCAGGGCAGAGCAGUCCCAGGGUGUGUCGUCACAUGUCUCUCGUCCCUUCCGUGUCUUCCGCGCAUCUCGCGUAACAUGUCUCUUGCCUUAGUCCUCCCAGGGGCUUUUGAGAAACCCCGGGGUCCUUCCGGUCAUCUCCCAUCUUUGCGUUCCUCGGCCCGGGGCCGACGCCGGCGAAAUUUCGAUUCGGGAGCUCGGACAGGCGUCGGAAUCGCAUCUCUCUUCAGAAGCAUCCGAUCGGAUGUCUUCUUAGGUCUUGUUCUCAGCUGUGUUGACAGCUGUGUGCAGUCAUCUUUCUUUACAGUGGAUAAGGACUUGUGCCGAUUCAAAGGCAGGCAGAGGCUUCCAGCCACAGGAUUCUCAGGCAUCCGUGUCCGCGGUUCUCGGAAUAAGUCGUUCCGUUAGCAUCUUUUUCCUCCGGGGUCAUCCGAGCCCGGCGGGCUCGCCUUCGGUCCCCCCUCGGUCAUCUCGUUCAGCAUUCUCUCGGUCCUCGUGAGGACUUGCUCGUCUCAGAGAGUUUUCUCUCCCUGUCGUGUCCCCUCGUCUCACGUGUCACGGGUGUCUGGGGGUAUUCGGUCCGGAACUGCUCUGCCCUGCCGCCCGGCCCGGUUGCAGGUGUUCAAGGACAAGUCCCGGGCACUUGUAAUUGGAGACUCGUAAUACGGGCUGUAGUUGGAGUCUAGGUAGUAUUCUUAUGUUGGCAGAAGGUGUCUGGAGCUGUGAAGUUACCCUGCAGCACUUUUACCUUUUUCCUAACUUUCUUUCAGAUGCGGAUGGAUCGACCUCCCGGCAGAGCGCCCCGUCCCAGAUGAGGGGAUCCCCCCGAGAAGGAAGUAAAGCCGGAUAGCAGCAGUGAAGGUGAAGCAUUGUGAAGGUGGUCUACUUGCAAGAUAUCCCAGCCCAGGAUGCCAGAGGACAGGUGGGUGCAAGCUCUAAGUGUGUUUUGGUGUUUAAGUCCCUGGUUUGCUGAUAAUGUUUAGUUCUCUAAGAUAGAAUGAAAGAACCAUAUCACGAAUCCCACCUUGUGGAUCCCGACACGAAUCGGUGUCACGGACAGGAUUCUGAGAGACAGAAGGGGUUGCAGAUUUGUCGUGCACUCGGUAUCGGGGGAAAGACGUUUCGCCUCAGCCGCCCCUAGCCUGCCACGCCGGUGAGCAGUGUCUAGAAAGCAAGGGAGGCGAUUCGAAUUUUUUAAAAACUGC